AUUGAACCCAGUGCCUCACACAUGCCAGACAAGCGUUCUCCGCCAGCCCCAGGAUCACUGAAUAUUUAGGAAGACUUCCAAUGUGGACCCCUGAGACCAACAUAAAUUGAAAAGAGGACCUAAGCCAGGUAUGAGGGUGUGUGCCUUUUCAUUCAGCUGCUUGGGAGACUGAGGCAGGAGCCUCUCUUGAGCCUGCAACCACAUGAGGAACCUGUCAGCUGGACCCAGCUGUGGACUGGAGAGGAUGACAGUAAUGUGAGGAGACGAAAUCACAGGAAUCACUCAAAAAGUAAACAGGGAAACAUAGAAGCCUAGAAGUUCAAGACUAAGCCAGGCAUGAAGGUGCAUGCCUGUAACCCCAGUGGCAGGGGCAGGGGGCUGAGAAAGGAGGAUCACAGGUUGGAGGCCAGCCUCGGCACCUUGGCAAGGGCCUGAGCAAUUUACUGACUUCCUGUCUCAAGAUGAAGGGCUACAGAUUAGCUCAGUGGUGAAGUGCCCCUGGGUUCAGUCUCCAGUAUUGAAAAAAAAAAAAAAAGUUGAAGGCUAGUGCUUCCUCACAGUAUGGUGGGGCAGGAGUGUAGGGAAAUUGUGUUUGCCAGCUGAGGCUGUUUUAACAACAUACCAGAUGGGGUGGCUUUGACAAUGGAAAUGUAUUUCCCAGAGUUCUGGGUGCUGGCAAGUCAAAGAUCCAGGUGCUCCCGGGGAGGGUGUUCCUGCCCCCAUGGGUGCCUCCUCCAAUGGCUGAGUGCCUACACAUGAGCUUACACUGUCAUAAGAACACUAAUCAGGACUCCACCCUCUGACUUUAGUUCCCUCCUCCCAUGCCCCACCUCUAGUUACAGCCACAUUGAAGACAGGACUUUACCAUGUGGAUUUGGGACAGGGCACAAUCCUGGUCUGAGCAAAGGCUGCUGAGUGCUAGCAUUCUAAUGGGGAAAGGUGCAUGGUUCUCUAGUGACCUGCCACUGGAUUAGGCCUAUUGCAAGCCCACCUGGAUUCAAGGGGAGAAAGCACCAAAAUCACAGUAUGGGAAGAAACAAGGGAUGGGAGAUAAUUUUACCUUAUUUGUGAUUCUAGGAAUUGAACCUAGGCCUCACACAUGCUAGGCAGGUGCUCAACCACUGAGCCACACCACCACCAAGGAGGUCAUGUUGAAGUCCUCCUUAGGAAGUACAUCCUAGCAGGCUCCAUAGUGAAUUCUGUCCAGUCACAGCCGUGCAGACACCUCUGAUUUCCAGCGUUUAGAAUCAUUCUGUAGACAGAGGAUGAGUAUUUGGUUUCAGAAAAGAACACAGAGAUUUUCAACCUUAACCAUUUGAAAGGAAGGAGGAGGAGAGAGAGAUGGCAUUUGGUAGGAGGAAAAGAGACAGGGGGCACUGCACCAGUUCUAAGUUCAGCCAAGUCCAGAGCCACCAUGAGUUUUCAGCCACUGAGAACAAGAACAAUGAUGUAGGCAGCUGCCUCUGCCACUGGAGUUUCAUGGGAGGGAGACACAUUUGGACUACUCUGCAGGUAAGAACUUUUGGAACAACAGAUCUUCAUCUUGGAGCACACCUCUAUCUACAGUUGACAAGCCAUGCCUCCUCCUGCAGUGGUCAUGUGUACAGCCUCUCACUAUCUUUGGAAGUAUGACCACUGAGACCUCCCAAAAUAGGAAAGAUAUGGGGGCUCACCCUCCAAGGGCUCUUGUGUGCACUAAUGGAAAUGAUUCCACAUCUAAACUCAACCCAGAGCACCUGCAUGUCCUCAAAAUAAAGAGAGCAUUCUAUAUGUAACCACCAGAGAGAAAACCAGUACUCAGUAGCAGGACCAGAGGGAAAAUCAGCAUUCAGUAACUCACUAGAAGGAAGACCAGCAUUUGGUAACAGGAUGACAUGAGGGGAUGAUCAGCAUUUGGAACUGGGCCACCAGAGGGAAUACCAGCAUCAGGUAACAGGACCAGCAGAGGGGAAGACCAGCAUCUGGAAACAGGACCACCGGAUGGGCAAACCAGCAUUGGGUACUAAGACCAGCAGAGGGAAAGUGCAGCAUCUGGUAACAGGACUACCAGAGGGUAAGACCAGCAUCUGGUAACAGGACCACCACAGAGGAAACCAGCAUUCUGUAACAGGAAUGGGGAAGGUCAUUUGGAGAAAAAGAAAAAAGGAAACCAGCAUUUGGUAACAGCAGAGGGGAAGGUCGUCAUUGCAUAAGAGGACCACCAGAGGGGAGGAUCAUCACUGCAUAACAGGACCACCAGAGGGGAAGGUCAUCAUUGCAUAAGAGGACCACCAGGGGGGGAAGGUCAUCAUUACAUAAGAGGACCACCAGAGGGGAGGAUCAUCAUUGCAUAACAGGACCACCAGAGGGGAAGGUCAUCAUUACAUAACAGGACCACCAGAGGGGAAGGUCAUCAUUGCAUAAGAGGACCACCAGAGGGGAAGGUCAUCAUUACAUAACAGGACCACCAGAGGGGAAGGUCAUCAUUACAUAAGAGGACCACCAGAGGGGAAGGUCAUCAUUGCAUAACAGGACCACCAGAGGGGAGGAUCAUCAUUGCAUAACAGGACCACCAGAGGGGAAGGUCAUCAUUACAUAACAGGACCACCAGAGGGGAAGGUCAUCAUUACAUAAGAGGACCACCAGAGGGGAGGAUCAUCAUUGCAUAACAGGACCACCAGAGGGGAAGGUCAUCAUUGCAUAAGAGGACCACCAGGGGGGGAAGGUCAUCAUUACAUAACAGGACCACCAGAGGGGAAGGUCAUCAUUACAUAACAGGACCAUCAGAGGGGAAGGUCAUCAUUACAUAACAGGACCACCAGAGGGGAGGAUCAUCAUUGCAUUACAGGACCACCAGAGGGGAAGUCUAGACUUUGGUAACAGGAAGAGCAGAAGGGAAGUCCAGCAUUUGGUACCAGGACCAGCAGAGGAUAUGUCCAGCACUGGGUACCAGGACUAGCAGAGGAUAUGUCCAGCAUUGGGUAACAGGACCAGCAGAGGGGAAGUCCAGCAUGGGGUAACAGGGCCACCAGAGGGAAGUCCAGCAUGGGGUAACAGGGCCACCAGAGGGAAGUCCAGAAGUGGGUAACAGGACCAGUGGAGGGGAGGACCAGCACCGGGUGACAGGACCAGUAGAGGGGAGGACCAGCACUGGAUGUUAGGACCAGCGGAAGGGAGUCCAGUACCAGGUGACCGGGCCAGUGGAGGGGAGGACCGGCACCUGGUGACAGGACCACAGGAGGGGAGGACCAGCACCGGGUGACAGGACCACAGAAGGGGAGGACCAGCACCGGGUGACAGGACCACAGGAGAGGAACACAGAUUCGCAGGUUACUGGUAAUGUAAUCCAAGGGCACUGUACCACUGAGUUAUACCCCCAGGCCUUCUUUAAAUCUGUAUUUAGAAACGUCGUUACUAAGUUGCUGAGGCUGGCCUUGAACUUGGGAUCCUCCUGUCUCAGCCUCCUGGUGACCAGGAUCACAGGCCUGCACCACCAUGCCUGGCAAAACCAGGUUUUUCAAAGAGGGCAACAAGUUGAUGGCAGAAGUUCUAUCACAAACGAGAACAGAGAACCCUUGGAGUGGUGCCUUUCAUGAGUCACUGUGCAGGGCCUUUGUUCAUCUCUCACUGUGUUGCUUUUUUCUCUUAGUGAGUUAAUCACUACCUGCUUUGGUCAUUGGCCCUUUAUGAUGUUGUAGGGCAGGUCACUCAGAAAACACACAAGUCCCAGUUUUGUCCAAUUGAAAAGUCUUUAUUCUGCCCAUCCAGUACUUCUUCCUACAGCCUUGAGCCUCAACAUUUUAGGAUACAUAAAGGCAAAAACUGCAUUCAGAUUGACAUAGCAACUAGCAAGCCAGCAAACAGGAGUAUAGAAGCUGAAUAAAGACAUUAUCGAGACAAUGUAGUGUCCUUCAUCAUGCUUUCGUUCUCAU
rnacentral:lncRNA from 1 species